UACGGGGGGUGCGAGCGUUGUCCGGAAUCACUGGGCGUAAAGGGCGCGUAGGUGGCGUCGUAAGUCUGUGGUGAAAGCCCGGAGCUCAACUCCGGGUCUGCCGCGGAUACUGCGAGGCUUGAGUGCUGUAGAGGGGGGUAGAAUGCCGGGUGUAGCGGUGGAAUGCGUAGAGAUCCGGAAGAACACCGGUGGCGAAGGCGGUCUGCUGGGCAGUUGCUGACACUGAGGCGCGACAGCGUGGGGAGCAAACAGG
rnacentral:rRNA from 1 species